AUGCCCCGGGCUCCCGUGGGGCCCGAGAGCCCAUGUGGAGACCGGAAAGAGUCAAGUCCUGGAGGUUUGAGGAAGGCCACUUACAAUGUCCACUGUUCCUUCCCAUAUCGAUAUCAUGAGGCUUUCCAAAGUGGUUUCUUCAGUUUUUGUAGUUUGUGGUUGAACACCGCCAUCUCGGGGUUCCCUUCCCCACACACUCCCCUUCCCUUCUCUAGCAGCACACCACACCACACUACCCUUUCCCUUCUGUGUGCACACACGCACAGGGCUCUGCUCUCCAUCUUCUCCCUGCCCCUUCCUUCCGUGUGCGUGCAAUAUCCCCUCCCGUCUCUCUCCUUUCCCUCGCCUUCCCUCGUGUCCACACACUGCACUUUCCCCUCUGUCCCACCCUCCACACACGAGCUACAGUAUCCGUUCCCGUCCUCCUUUUCCUGUCGCCACCUACACUACACAUUUCCUUCUCUUCCCUUCCCUUGUCACACACACUGCACUUGCCUUUUUCAUCUCUUCCCUUCCCUGCCUUGCCACACACACACUACCCCUGUCAUUCCUUUCCUUCUCUUCGUGCUUUAUCCCUCCCUCCUGCCCCCUCCACACAACUAUAGUAUUCCCACCCUUUAUCCACACACAGUGGAUAUCCACACUCCCUUUCCUUCUCUUCCUGCACACACACAACGCACUGCCCGUUCCCUUCUCCACACAACCCCCCCCCAAACACCACAUGGCCUCUUCUCAUUGUCCCUUCUCCCCACGAGCUACUGUGGCCCGUUCCCUCUAUUCUCUUCCCUUCUUUUUUUCUACGUGCACAGACAACACCAUCCUCUCCCUUUCCUUUCCUCCCCUAGAAGAGUUCAGUGUGCAUGUGUGGACGAAUGCAGAAAGAAUCCCUUCCUUUCCCUUCUCUACCCGCUCCACUUCCUGUCUCCUUCCCUUCAACAUGCACACCCUACCCCCCCACCCCUCAUCCUAACACACAAGGGCACUGUCCUUUCCCUUUUCCCCUUCCAUUCCCUCUCACCCACACUACUCUGUUCUCUCCCCUCCCCACACCACACUAUCCUCCGUGCACGUGUUUUACUCCUCCGUGCACGUGUUUUACUCCUCCCUCCUUCUCCCCCGCACACUACCCAGUCCCUUCCUUUCCACAGUCACACACUACACUAUCCGUUCCCACCUCCACGCACUACAUUAUCCCCUCCGUUCGCUUUCUUUAUGUUCCUUUUUUCCUACCCGCAUAUUCGAACUUGUCUUCGCUUCCCACCUUUUCUCCACAUCCACACACACACACUACGCUGUUCUUCUCCCUUCCCUUCUCCACACGAACUACUCUCUCUUCCCAUUUUUCCCUUCCCCACAUACACGAGACCGUGCGAUCCCUUCCCUCUCGCGUGUCACCUUCUGUUUUCUACACAGACAGUAUACUCUAGCUUUCCCUUCCUCCCUUCUUCCGCACAACACACACUCCCCACUACUCUUUCCCUUCUCUGCACACACACACUACAAUGUACUUUUCCAUUUUCCCUCACCCUAACUGCAGUAUCCCUGCCCCCCCCCACUAAAUUGUGCAUUCCACGCCCCUCCUCUCCUUUGCACACACAUUUACAUUGUCCCUUCCCUGCGAUUCCCCUUCUUCAUACACGUACCACUAUGCUAUCCCUUUCCUACAGACACAUACACACGCUCCCCCAUCCAUUCUGUUCCCUUUUCCUUAACCACACAUACAUACACUAUUCCUUCCCCAAACCGCACACUACCCUAUUUAUUCACUUCUCUCCUUUCCUAUAUACACACAAGACACCACAGUAUCCCUUUCCUCCUUCCUCUGCUCCCCCCCACUCCACUAUCCCUUCUCUUUCCCCCUCCACACUUACAUACUACAUUGUCUGCUCCUGGCCCUUCUUUCCACGUAUACACACGUUAUACUGUCGCUUAUUGCCCCCAACAUACAUCCUACACACGAACUUUCUUUACCACCCUCCCCCACCACACGCACUGCAUCUCCUGCCUUCCCUUCUCUAUGCACACACGUUACGGUCUCCCUUCCCUUCUCCACACACACAUACUACAUUAUACUCUGGUUUCGUGUUUUCCUUCCCCUUCCCUCCCCACCAACACUACAGUGUCCCUCUCAGCACACAAACAAUAGACUACCUCUCUUCUUCUCUCUUGCCAUUCUCUUUGUGGUCUUUUGUUAUGCAGAAGAUGUUCAGCCAACUCUUAGUUCUGCCUAGGAAGGAACUGUUCUAUAAAUAG
rnacentral:lncRNA from 1 species